GGCUGCGCCUCGCCUCAGCGCAGCGCCGGCAGGGGGGCGAUGGUGGCGGCGUGAGGCGCGGCGGGGCCGGGCUGCGCCCGCCGGGACGGCACCGGGAGCGGCACCGGGACCGUGACGGGACCCCGACGGGACACGGCGUGAGCCUGGGGCUCGCCAUGAGGCCGCGGGACGACAGCCGCGGGGCGCUGCCGCCGCGGUAACGGGCAGCGCUGCCCGAGACCCUCCCGUGUGAGCACCGGGGGCCAGUCCUGCAGUCUCCACAUCAUCCACUGCGUGAAGAAUGAUGAUUCCCUGAGAGAACUUCCCUUCAGUUUUUUCUCUUACUCAUCCGCGCCUAUUGCAUGCUGCUCCUGGACAGUGAUGAGCCGUUUAGCUACGCUGGGAUUUUUCCUGUGAAGAAGGGAGAGCCGGAAUAUGAAUUGUAGACAUCCCUUCAAGCUUCUUGUGCAUUGAUUUUACUGUAUCUGUCUAUAAAUCUGCUAGCAUUGAGCACAUACACCCUUAAACCUACAUUGGUAUUUGCAGAGUUGCUACUGUGUCACAGGACUGGUAUUUCUCGCCGUCAUGGCUUCGGUUUGGAAAAGACUGCAGCGUGUUGGGAAACAUGCAUCCAAGUUCCAGUUUGUGGCCUCUUACCAGGAGCUGAUGGUGGAGUGCACCAAAAAAUGGCAGCCAGAUAAACUCGUGGUGGUUUGGACAAGAAGAAGCCGAAGAAAAUCCUCUAAGGCUCAUAGCUGGCAGCCCGGAAUCAAAAACCCGUACCGUGGAGUGGUCGUAUGGCCUGUUCCUGAAAAUGUUGAAAUUACCGUGACGCUUUUUAAGGAUCCCCACGCUGAAGAGUUUGAAGACAAAGAAUGGACGUUUGUCAUAGAGAAUGAAUCUCCUUCUGGCCGCAGAAAAGCUCUUGCUACCAGCAGCAUCAACAUGAAGCAAUACGCAAGCCCCAUGCCUACACAAACAGAUGUCAAGUUAAAAUUCAAGCCUUUGUCGAAGAAAAUAGUAUCUGCCACACUACAAUUCUCUUUAUCUUGUAUUUUCCUGAGGGAAGGGAAAGCCACGGAUGAAGACAUGCAAAGCCUGGCUAGUUUGAUGAGUAUGAAACAAGCUGAUAUUGGAAAUCUAGAUGAUUUUGAGGAAGACAAUGAAGAAGAUGAAGAAAACAGAGUGAAUCAAGAGGAAAAGGCUGCGAAAAUUACAGAAAUUGUAAACCAGUUGAAUGCUCUGAGCAGCUUAGAUGAAGAUCAAGAUGACUGCAUAAAGCAAGCAAAUAUGCCUUCAGCUAAAUCAGCCAGUUCCUCUGAAGAGCUUAUCAAUAAGCUUAAUUUCCUGGAUGAAGAGGAACAAGACCUGGCUAACUCUAGUACGAACCCUUUUGGUGAUCCCGAUGCAGCAGAAUUAAAUCCAUUUGGAGACCCUGAUGUAGAAGAACCGGAUACUGAAAUCGCUUCAUCUUCAAAGCCAGAAGAAAGUUUCUAUGCAGACAAUUACAAUCCCUUCAAGGAUGAAGAUGCCCCAGAGUACUUGAACCCAUUUGAUGAGCCAGAUGCUGAGCCUGAAGCAUUUGUAACUGCAAGAGAUUCUUCUCCUCAACCCGCAAAAAGGAAAAACGUCAGACCAGUGGACAUGAGCAAAUACCUCUACGCAGAUACCUCCAAAGCUGAAGAGGAAGAGCUUGAUGAAUCAAAUCCGUUUUAUGAACCAAAAUCAAGUCCUGCUUUAAUUAAAGUUGCUCCACUGCAAGAACCAGAAAAGAAGAUGAAAAGAAAAGCUCCUGAACCACCAAACCUCUUGCCAAAGACAGAGACAAGCAUGAGUGAGAACAUGGCAGCUAUUCCUGCAUCGAGGGAGCUUUCUUCUUCUCCUAAGCCAAGCCCAAUACCAAGUCCCAUUUUGGGGAGAAAGCCAAACGCUAGUCAGUCCCUGCUUGUGUGGUGCAAAGAAGUUACAAAAAACUAUAGGGGAGUGAAAAUCACCAAUUUUACAACAUCGUGGAGAAACGGACUGUCGUUUUGUGCAAUACUACAUCACUUUAGACCAGAUCUAAUUGACUACAAGUCCCUGAAUCCUCAAGAUAUUAAAGAGAACAACAAAAAGGCAUACGAUGGGUUUGCCAGUUUAGGAAUAUCGCGGUUGCUGGAGCCUUCUGACAUGGUUUUGUUAGCGAUACCUGACAAACUGACUGUCAUGACCUAUCUCUAUCAAAUACGGGCGCACUUCUGUGGCCAAGAAUUAAACGUGGUUCAAAUCGAGGAGAACAGUAGUAAAAGCACAUACAAAGUGGGGAACUAUGAAACGGACACAAACAGUUCUGUUGACCAGGAAAAAUUCUACGCAGAGCUGAACGACCUGAAGCGGGAGCCUGAGCUGCAUCCGCCGGACGGUGGUCUGGCAGACUUUGCUUCUCAGGACGACUCCGUGUUUGUCAAUGACAGCGGUGUCGGUGAGUCCGAGAGCGAGCAUCAGACUCCCGAUGACCAUUUAAGCCCGAGCACGGCUUCCCCUUCUUCUCGCAGGACUCGAAGCGACACGGACCCCCAAAAAUCCCAGCAGAGCUCUGGAAGGACUUCUGCCUCUGAAGAAGUUGGGAAGUGUAGCAGUACAGACACAACACAAGCGCAGCCUGUGUCGGGAAAGAAGAAGUUGCUGAAAGCUGACACGUUAGACUUGAGUGACUUGGCACAUGUCAGCUAUCAAAAGGAGGACACGUCUCCCACCGUUGUUGGUGAAGAUAAUGACAAGAAAAGACACCAGAGUUCAGACAGUACCAUGGGUUUCUCAGAGCAGGAGAAGCUGGGGCAUAUGGGAUCCACAGAGAGCACAAGACUAGAUCCUGGUUCACCGGUCACAAAGCCAAGUUUAUCACCCACUUCUAACCUUGGGUACUUUUAUAAUAAGGAUGUGGAUUUUGCAAAGAAAACGUGUGCUUCUCCGAGGCAAGCAGAACCUGAAUCUGACAACGAUGCCAGAACGACUUCAAAUCAUGCAGAUCCAGCUGCAAAAACAGCCCAGCAACGAAUGUUGUCAAGACAGGAAGAACUUAAAGAACGAGCAAGAGUUCUGCUUGAGCAAGCAAGAAGAGAUGCAGCUUUAAAGGCAGGGAACAAGCAGCUAACGAAUACGAUCAUCCCAGCCCGCAAUAAGCAGCUGAAUGAUCAGCAAGAUGAAGAGCGGCGUCGGCAGCUGAGAGAGAGAGCUCGUCAGCUAAUAGCAGAAGCUCGAUCUGGAGUGAAGAUGUCAGAACUUCCUAGCUACACUGAAAUGGCUGCAGAAAAGUUGAAAGAAAGGUCAAAGGCAUCUGGAGAUGAGGAUGAGGAUGAUGAUAAUAUUGAGAUAGAUACUAACGAGGAGGUUCCUGAAUGCUCUGUUACUGGAGGUGGAGAUGAGCUUACUAACCUAGAAAAUGACCUUGAUUCAACGGCAGAACAAAACAGUAAGUUGGUGGAUUUGAAGCUGAAGAAGCUCCUAGAAGCUCAGCCACAGGUGGCAAAUUCACUCUCCAGUGCUGCUCAGAAAGCUGUAACUGAUAGCUCAGAGCAAGACAUUAAGCAGAAUGGAACAGAGGAGCAUCGUGCUGAGCGAUUACAAAAAGCAACAGAACGUUUUAGAAAUCCUGUUGUGUUCAGCAAGGACUCCACCGUCAGAAAAACUCAGCUCCAGUCUUUCAGUCAAUACGUGGAGAGCAGACCAGAGAUGAAAAGGCAGAGAUCAAUACAGGAAGAUACAAAGAGAGGAAAUGAGGAGAAGGCUGCGAUAACUGAGACUCAGAGGAAGCCAUCAGAAGAUGAAGUGCUUAAUAAAGGGUUCAAAGACACCAGUCAGUAUGUUGUAGGAGAAUUGGCAGCACUAGAGAAUGAGCAAAAGCAAAUUGACACCCGUGCCGCGCUGGUGGAGAAGCGCCUUCGCUAUCUCAUGGACACAGGUACGAGCACAGAAGAGGAGGAAGUUGUAUGGCUGAGUAUAAAAAUCACAAUUUAAUAGCAUUGAUUUCCCUUCUUGCUCUAUUAUAAUGGCUUGACACCAAAUGAUGACAGGGGUAGGAUUAUCUUGCUUUCUUCGGGAUUGUGCUUCCCCAUGUUGUGCCGAACCUGUUAUGGACAAAAUAGUUUUGUCUCUACUUCGGUGACAGCAUCCUUCUCCAUUGUGAAUUCUUCUGUCAUUGUAUUUCGAGGUGUCUGUCAUCUUGAUAUCGAAGUGCCAAUUAAAAUGCAGAAUUAUCGCAUAAUACAAUUAAAAUAAAAAACAAAGAAGCCCAGUUUACAAAUCUCUAAUCUAAAGUUAGCUCUUUUUCGGUCACUAUUUCUUCACUAAUUACAAAAACAACCGGUUUAAAAAAUUGCAGCUAUCAGAUAUUUUGUUAUCUGACCACAGGGUAUGAAGUGUUUUUAAUUGUUUUUCUGAUUAGCCACAAGCUCCCAAAUUCAAGUAGAAGCAUAUUUGUAUUUUCUGUAUGAGAUCCUCUACCUUAGCAGUGGCUGAGCACGUUUGUGGUACCGUAUAAGGAUUAAUGAAAUAAAAAAAAAACCUCUGCUGCUGCUGAUUGACCACUGAUGGUAAAUGUAAUUGAAUUAGCAGUGCACUAAAAUAAAUGUAGACAAAAUAAAUAUAGACAAGAAAAUCUGGUGAAAGCUUCUGUAAUGUUUUAGAUUAAUAGGCAUACAGAAUUCUUCACAUUUUUUAUUACGUUGUCCCUAGAUGAAUUCAAAGUAAUUGGGGUGGUUAAUUUUAUUUACACAGAGCCGUUCACAGCGCAUUAAAUAAUAGAGAUAAUUGAACAAGAAUUGUCAAGUGUGUACUGAUAUCAGACAUAUUACAGAAGGGAAUGUGCAUAAAACUUCAUUUCUAUGCAGCCAUUGUUUAUGGUAAUUAAGUACACAGAUUUAUCCCUUGGUUGCCUUCCAAGCUUAUGGCAACUGCUAUUGUUGUGCUCCAUUAAUAUGUAAUCAGGAAAUAGUUUAAUUUUCUAAUCUGCAGUUUGAGAAUUCACUUUCUAACAACUCUUAAUUACUGCAUUGCCCUAAUGAUGCUCAUGGUUAGGAAAACUGAACCAAUAAACUCCGUGGAAGAAGCCAGAGGGGAUUAUACUUCCAGAGGUGGUGCUUACUUAAUAAACUUGUUAUGCCUUCACCAGAGGGAGCUCAGUGUCCUUCAAAAGCAUCUAAUUUUAUAUUUCCGAGUUGUACGUACCCAUGGUGUGAAGAGUUAACCUACGGUGUGCGCUGGGGGUGGCUGUAAACGUGAGUCACUAGAGAACCAGAUAAGCGAUGCUAUCACCAUUUUGGUAUUUUUCCGACUGUAUACUAAUUGUAGAGUUUAAUUGCAUGGGAAAUAAUGCAGGUGGUUCAACCUAUUGUUUUAAAUAGUCCUCAUGGGUUUAUUUUUGUCAAGUUUGUUUUCUUUCAUUAGCCACAUUAGCUAAACACCGUAUCGGAAGAUCUUUCACGCAAAGAUAAGCUCCUGAAUAUUGACGGUUAUCUUAUGUUUGCUGUCUUCAGGGUGAAUCUUAAAAAGUAAAAGGUUUUUAAAAUUGUUUCCUUUCUCCAGUGGCCCAUCGUUCACUGUGAUUGCCAUUUCCUGGCUGCUGCUUCACCUAGCGCAGCUCCGACGAGGGCACCGCAGUUACUUGGGGUUGGUGGCACUGCCCUGCGAUGGGAAGGUAGCCCAGCCCUGCAGCACCCGGCCCUAUAGGUGAGAAGAUCAGAAAAGGGAAGAAUUAAAAUCUGCUGCGAUCCACCAUGCCUGGGUGUCUGGUACACCUGGGCUUCCCCCUAGGAAAACCCCGGGUCCUGUGUGGUGGGGCUGGCAAGCCGACUUUCUGGCAACCAGAUGACUUGAGGGUCUUCUGCACGUGUUGCUUUUCUUCCGUGUGUGGGGUGGGCUGCUUUGGCCAAGACGUACCCAAUUUCAACACCGCAGGUGCUCGACGUGGGAGUGGGAUUGCCAUCUCCCAGCCACUGUUUCACCUCUCCUUUUUCAGCGUGUAAGCUGCCUCGUCAAUGGGACUAAUUACACCGGGAACCAAACAGCAAACAUUAGGAUCGCUGUAAACACAUAUGUUGUGUCACUGCAAAUUAACUCUUCCCGAGCUAAAAAGCAGCAUACGCUUUGUUGGUGCGUGUGAAAGGCAAGCCACAUGUAUUAAUUAGGGAGCGUUCUGCACAGCUUUGAAGACAGAAGGAACUGAGGUUCGUACGAGCGAAACAUUUGAAUUUAUUAAUGGAAAGGAAAAAAGGUUGAGCUAAAAAAGUACAGGCACACAAAGAGGGUUUAAAUUGUUUAUUUAGUCUGUUGUAAUGAAAUGAUUUUUUUUGCAUAGACAUAGCAGUCUGGGGCAUGGAUAGCGGGGUAUGUUACAGUCACCAAGUACUUAAUUGAACUGUACAAGUUGUCUAACAUCACCUCAUCAGAAAUAGCCCAUGUUUCUGCUUGUCAGGCCCUAUAGCAUUUGAGGCAUAAAAUGCACAGUUUCUUUCCAUCAGAGCACGUUACAAAAGGGAGGGGAGACAAAAGAAAGCGGGCCAUUAGGUAGCUGCCACUCUGGGCUGCCGUGUCAGGGCUGCAGCUCUCCUGCAUCUCCGUCCUUAUCUUCAGCGCAGUCAACAGCUGUGCUGAGGCCGUGCCUUACAGCUAUAUUAUCCAGAAGCCAGGUCUAGAAUAUUUUUUCCUUGCGCGGCAGCAGUAGCUGGCUGGGUCUUUGGACAGCUUCAGGGCUGGCUGACUGACACCUUUGUUAACCACGCUCGUGGCUGGGAAGCUGGUUUUUGGAACCAUCUCAGGGUCAAGCUGCCAGUAAGCUGUCUGGGUCGCUUUCUGUUUCAAAAUGGUGUUUUUAUUUUAGUUCAGUUUUGUUUCCCUCACCUAUUUGAGUGACGAGGAAUAUGCUUGCUGUCAGGUGAGCAGAAUAAGUCGCCGUGCCUGUUACUUGUGAUUAUCAUGCAUAAGGGUGACUCGUUUCGGAUAUUCCUGUAUCUACUGUAUUGCCUCAAAGGGUAGGUCAUCGACUGAUUAGUAACCUCUUUGCAUAAUUUCCCCUUGUGAACUCACUCAAGGGUGAAUUUCCUACCUAUGCUGUUGCGUUAAAAUCUGCAUAGAAAGACAAAAAGAACUUCUACCAGAACAAGCUGUCAUGUCCAAAGAUAAAGCGCGCAUUCACAGGUCUGAAAAUUGAAGCAAAUAACCCUGAAAAUAUGUACAUGUAUAUAUAUAUUUUUUUCCUCUCCUCCUGGGGACAGAAACAAAGGUACAGAUGAGAUUCUCUGCUCUGUUUGGUUGCUGCUGGGUCAUAGCUCGGGCUUUCUCAGCCCACUCAUUCACAACCAUGUUCGCAGAAAUCGCUUGUAGUUUCUACCUGGGAAAUACAUUUGUAUGUUUGUUUUCCAGGAAGGAGAGGUAUGAAACACAGGUGGCAUUCAAAAAUGUUGCAGCAAAGAGUGUGCCUUCAGAAAAAUACAUUUUGAGUUAUUUAUCGGGUGAUUCAGAAGCAUUCCUGUAACGUGUACAGAAAGGGCCAUUUCCCGAGGUGGCAAAAGCUAAGGUAGCUUGCCUGAAAUCAAUGAAAUUAGCUCGGUUUUAGAGCAGCUGGAGAUCUAACCUUCCACUCCCUUUUUUUCAUUCACAAACACAGCUCCCAGGCAGAAGCGCGGGGGCACGCUUGCAGCAGAGUGCUUUUGUGCUGAGUGGUUACAUGUGGCAUCCGAACAGACCUCCGAUUCUUCCGCAAUUGCUGUGAAUUGCCUUCCAAAACACACUGCACCUGCAAAGCAAUAUUUGUGAGAGCUCUGCUGUACGUCAAGUAAAGAAAGGCACAAGAAGUUGCCAUUGCCAAGUUGCAGACCUUCCAAAAUUCAUGAAUUUCCUUCACUUCAGUUGAAUACACGGUCUGCAAAGGAGAAAGAAAAAGAUGUACGGUGUGAAUGUGAGCCACUGUUCCCCCAGCCCAGUGGUACUGCUUGGGAAACGCUGUAGUGCUGGGCUGUGCUGAGGUCAGGUAUUUACCUUCCAUAAACGCAGAGUAAAAGUUAAGAGUUUUAGGAGGCAUCCUUAAUUAAAAAUUAUGUUGGUGCUGAUGCACGUUUCGUAGAAUCUGUAAUGAUCCUUUCCCAAAUAGAGAAAAUGCAGCAGGAUUUCAAGCACAUCUCUAUUUACAUAGUUCAGUGCGUGAGAUUGCUGGAUUAUGAUUAAUUUUAAUAGCUACAUUAAAAAAUACAUCUAACAUCAUUCUUAAUUAGAAUAAUCUCUAAAGCCAGUUAAAUGUUUCAGAAGACAAACAGUUUAAUUAGCUAACCUACAGAGGCUCCCCUCCCCCAAAUGUGCAGUAGUCUUAGGCUUGGUGUUAGCCUUUCAAGCAGUCUUAAACAAUCGGAUGAAAAGGGAUUUUAGGAAGAUUAGAGGACGGGAUGCUUUAGACGUUGUCCGUUAAUCAUGAGAUAUGCACCAUCUACAAAGUUUCACAAAGAAAUGAGAAUUUAAAUAAAAUUUACUUUGGUUAUCUAGUUAGCAUGAAUUACAAGCUAUAACAUCCAGCGAUAAGGCUAUUUAAUAAAUGUAUUCUUUUAAUUGUCGAUAUGAGCAAAAGUACAUGCUGGGGUGUAGUAGCAAGUGAUAUACCAGAUUAACAUUCUGAAAGGGACAAUGCUUUUUUUCCCAGAAACCAGGCCUUUGUUGAACUAUCCCAGGGUGCCACUAGAAUUUUUUUUAAGGGAUUCAAACUAAAACUUCAAAUAGAAUUGUUAGAGUUGGAUCUUCAUUUGCUCUCCUACCCAUCUUCAAAGAAUUCGGGAAAAGAUCUGGGGUAGUUUUUUUAGCUUGGUUUCUUUUCACUUUUUUUUUUUUUUAAAGGAAGAUUACUUUUUGGGUUGUGUGUUUAAUUUUUUCAGGUACAACUUUUUUUGUUAGUGUUAAGAUAAGAAGGACACUAAACAAAUUAUAGCUGCCACCACUUCUGUGCUUUCUUCUUGAAUUGAUUUUUUUUUUAGUUGAAAAUUGAGCUUUUUUUUAGAUCUAAAAACAUCUGAAAGGAGUUAGGUAUUGGCAAAGCUUUCCUCUGAAUGACCUAAAGGAAUACUCUUUUUCUUUUUUUUUUUUGCUUCCUGGAAGAUUUCUCAUUGUGCUUUACUCUUUAAGACAACAAAUUUGUAUUUCUCACCUGAAUUAGUCUCAGCAGCUGCAUCAAAAUGUCUCUGUCUCAGAUUCAUUGUGCCAGUGAGGUGCUCCGGUGCUCCUAUUUUAAAUACAGCCCAUGCUUUCAGUCCUUAUCUACACACUCUGGAGGAAACUGUUUACCUGUGCUGGGAAGCAGAGGCCACUUCUUAAAGAGGAGACACUGACCCUUAUCUAGCCUUUAGCAUGGGCAAAGAAUUCAGUGUUGCCUCCAUGCCUUCUGUCUUUUUUGCAUGAUCAAGUCCCCCUGAAUUUAUGUCAGGCAGGUUUGUGGUGUACCAAAUCCCUUGGGAAAAUGCAGAUGUCAGCAAAUUGCCUCUCUUAACCCGUGUCACACGAGUCAAAUGUCAUACCUACCACGCAAUGCUCAGAAAGGUGUGCGUCUUGCAGCACCUGUUGGCUUGUUCUCUAUAGAAUGCGAUGUAGAAACUCAAGAGCAGGGGAAAAAAAAACAAAAUCUUGGAUUUCUCCAAGUUGGCUGAUGUGACCCUGUGCCACCUACCAGUGUGCUGGCUGUGCCCCAGCAAUGUGAUACUCCAACAAGCUGAAAGAGAUGGCUCUCUCCACUUUCUUUUGACCUCGUGAGGCAGUCCAGCAGCUGCCCGGUAGGGACCAAACGGCACGGGAGAAGAAUAUCUGCCUCGCACCUGCUUUCACCAAGCUGCCUGCCACAAUGCCACCAUGCCCAGUGGUCCCCUGGGAGGCAAUCCCAGCCCUGGCCCCAUCUCUGUGGAAUACCCGGACAGUGUAGCUAUAAGGUAGUUUUCUCUUCUUCAAAACAUCAUUAGGACUGAAAAAAUGAAUCUCUUGCUUGCACAUUUUGCAUAAAUACAUGGUAAGUUAUCAAUUGAUGUUCAAAUAGCUUAAUUGAGUUUGAGGGGGGGAAAGGUCAUUUAAUUGGUCUAUUGAAAUGUUAACAGAAACAGAUAUGGCAAGGAAUAGACUUUAAUGGCUGCAGUGUGGCACUGAUGUCUGCAUUCACUUGCAAAAUUGUUAAUUAGGGCACUUUGGUAGUUCAUUUGCUUUUGUAUUGAUGUGCUUAGUCCAACCAGAGAAAUUGGGUUUGUGUAUGGUAUUUGCAAGGGGCAGCAGAGACUUCACGUACGCUCAGGAUUAAGGAGAGUAAAGUGUAAAGCACAACUGGUUUCUGAAUUGUGCUGGUGCCUUCAUUCACAUGCUGCCAGUUAUGCAAGGCGUUUUCCAUGGGCUAGUGCAUUUUCAUACGUGGUUAAGUUUGGUACCUCUAUAUAUUGGGCUUCAUUUUUUUUUAAUCAUCGUAGCAGUGGGCUUGAAUAAUGCUGUAAUAUUAUUAUUUUUUAAUAAGUUAGCGAUUCAAAGCUUUUAAAACUACAUUUAAACAGUUUGUACUGCAAAAACAAGAAGUUAGAGAGAGAUUCAUUUUGCCCCUGGAAGAAGGUGUUAUCUCCUUAAAUGUAUACCGAAAGAAUAUAUUAGGUUGCAAUUCCUGGCCCACAGUCAUCAGUGCCAGUGAAAUUACAAAACCAGCUCUUGGUGUAUGCCUGAAGUCCAUCGUGCCUCUCUUGCAGAACAUAAACCUUGAAGGUAUUGGCAUUUUGUAUGUGGGAACAGUGAAAUUGCACCGAUUGUCCACCUGCAUUUUUUGAGGGUUGUAAUUGCACGGAUUAAUCCCGGUGCUGUUUCAUAAUAGACUUGCUGGAUGCAAAGCUUUCUAUUUGAGUUGGCUGCAAGAAGGCUGCAUUGUGUACAGUAUAUAAUAAUACAUUAUACUCUAGGUACUUUUUAUAAACAGAGGCAGCGAGAAAAAACAAGCCAAGAACCAGGAGCUGAGAAUCCUCACUUUUACAACAGGGAUCCUGUUGUCCUGCUGCAGCAGGAAGGGGCUCGGAGAGAAGGUGACGUUUUGUAGCAAAUAAAGCACGGGUCUCAACAGCUCCUGGAUGAAAAGGGCUUUUUGUUGGCCAUAAAUAUUGUGUCACGGCGGUGAUUUCGCGUUGGGUGCUGUCUGCGGGGCAGCGCCGCCAUUUCGGGGCGGCACCAGGGGAUUUGGGGUGCGCUUUGCGGCGGAGCGUUUCUUUCAAACUCCCGGCCUGCCCGUAGCGAGGGUUGACAUCAGCUUCAUUUACUCGUAUGUAGUUGGGAAAGCACUCGCGCGAAGAUCACAAAUCUGCACGCUGCAGCUAUCUGGUUCGCAAGUUUAAUCAGAGUCCCAGAAAGUUUCAUUGUGGCUGCAUGCAAAUGUAUUUACAUAGGAAUGGGUCUUGGGCUCUUUAAAGAAGGCAACAAAGUUGAAGACUGAGGCCAACAAAUAAAUGAAAGUUUCUCUAAAUCCAUUGGAUAAUAGAGGCAGUGUUAAGGCUAACCACAGUGUUGAACUAAACAGAGGGAUUACUCCUGGGUUUUGCAUCAGUUGUUUUCUGCCGGGUGGCCUCACUUGUCAAAAAAAAAAAAAAAAAAAAAAAAA